rnacentral:misc_RNA from 1 species
GAUGAAGAACGCAGCGAAAUGCGAUACGUAAUGUGAAUUGCAGAAUUCAGUGAAUCAUCGAGUCUUUGAACGCACAUUGCGCCCCCUGGUAUUCCGGGGGGCAUGCCUGUCCGAGCGUCAUUGCUGCCCUCAAGCACGGCUUGUGUGUUGGGCCUCCGUCCUCCUCCCGGGGGACGGGCCCGAAAGGCAGCGGCGGCACCGCGUCCGGUCCUCGAGCGUAUGGGGCUUCGUCACCCGCUCUUGUAGGCCCGGCCGGCGCUUGCCGACACAUCAAUCUUUUUUCCAGGUUGACCUCGGAUCAGGUAGGGAUACCCGCUGAACUUAAGCAUAUCCAAUAAGCGGAGGA